UCUCCUGGAAACGGGUGGUAAUGCCGGAUGUUCCACAUGAGCGCAUGCGAGUGUGGGAAAGGCUUUUUGCGGCAUGGGAUGGGGUCGCGUCCUAUCAGCUUGUUGGUGGGGUAACGGCCUACCAAGGCGUUGACGGGUAGCCGGCCUGAGAGGGCGACCGGCCACAUUGGGACUGAGAUACGGCCCAGACUCCUACGGGAGGCAGCAGUGGGGAAUAUUGCACAAUGGGCGCAAGCCUGAUGCAGCGACGCCGCGUGCGGGAUGGAGGCCUUCGGGUUGUAAACCGCUUUUGUUCAAGGGCAAGGCACGGUUUCGGCCGUGUUGAGUGGAUUGUUCGAAUAAGCACCGGCUAACUACGUGCCAGCAGCCGCGGUAAUACGUAGGGUGCAAGCGUUAUCCGGAUUUAUUGGGCGUAAAGGGCUCGUAGGCGGUUCGUCGCGUCCGGUGUGAAAGUCCAUCGCUUAACGGUGGAUCCGCGCCGGGUACGGGCGGGCUUGAGUGCGGUAGGGGAGACUGGAAUUCCCGGUGUAACGGUGGAAUGUGUAGAUAUCGGGGAGACACCA
rnacentral:rRNA from 1 species